rnacentral:sRNA from 1 species
AAGUUUUAAAAUCAACAAACAAACCCAAAUCAAUCGUAAUAAUCUAAGGAGAAGGAUCAGACUAAUUGGCUUGACUUCCUCCGAAGAGGAAGUUCUAUUCGCUCAGUAUAAUCAGAUUCGAUCAUCUGGGGAAAUUGUCAUCACCUCCAUUCUCCAUUAUUAACCAAUCCAAAUCUCGAUU